rnacentral:rRNA from 1 species
UACGUAGGUGGCGAGCGUUGUCCGGAUUUAUUGGGCGUAAAGCGCGCGCAGGUGGUGCGGUAAGUCUGUCGUGAAAUCUCCUGGCUCAACUGGGAGGGUGCGGUGGAGACUGCCGGACUGGAGGCACUCAGAGGCCGGUGGAAUUCCCGGUGUAGUGGUGAAAUGCGUAGAGAUCGGGAGGAACACCAGUGGCGAAGGCGGCCGGCUGGGGGUGACCUGACGCUGAGGCACGAAAGCGUGGGGAGCAAACAGG